rnacentral:rRNA from 1 species
UAAAUAACUUUUAACAAUGGAUCUCUAGGCUCUCAUAUCGAUGAAGAACACAGUGAAAUGUGAUAAGUAAUGUGAAUUGCAGAAUUCAGUGAAUCAUUGAAUCUUUGAACGCACCUUGCACCUUUUGGUAUUCCAAAAGGUAUGCCUGUUUGAGUGUCAUGAAAAUCUCUCAUCAAAUUAAUUUUUGGUGGA